ensembl:lincRNA linc-78 ncRNA
CAAAUUCGCUUGGCAGAUGGAAAGCAAUCGAUUAGAAUCUGUACAGGACAUGUUUCCACGGAGCCGCCGUUGAUUUGGUAAGACUUUGGGCCUGAGCCAUUAUUAAAUAAAUUUAGUUAUCCGGA